rnacentral:misc_RNA from 1 species
AACACUGUUAACCUGCGGUACCUGCGGAGGGAUCAUUACACAAUAAUAUAUGAAGGCUGCUCGCGGCUGGAGUAUUUAUUACCCUUGUCUUUUGCGCACUUGUUGUUUCCUGGGCGGGCUCGCCCGCCACCAGGACCACAUACAAACCUUUUUUAUGUAGUUGCAAUCAGCGUCAGUAUAACAAAUGUAAAUCAUUUACAACUUUCAACAACGGAUCU